AAGAAUUUUAAUGAAAUUCUAAUUACUGUGUAAGAAAUAAGUCAAAUUCCUCUUCUCUCACUGUGAAGGGCUUUUAUUACCCACUGCUAUAAAACAUAUAUCUUUUUUUUUUUCUGUUGCUAUCCUAGCUGAGUAGCUUGCAUACCAAUAGGAUCACUAAAAUGCCACGAAGCAGAACAUAUUUAUCUGUUAAAUUCUACGUACAGUAACCUAACAAAUGCCAGAGACAGAAAGAUUGCCCUCUGCACAGUAAUACUUGUGUAGAUGUCUUCUUUAUGCUAACAAUGACAGGGCUUCAUGCCCUGUACUGUACUCAAAAAUCAGGGUGCAUUUUUUUUUCAAUAGAAGACUCCAUAUCAAAAAGAAAAAGAACUGCACAUUUUUGGCAUUGAGAUAUUUUAUGUGGGUAAUAAAUUUUUUCCCCUCGAACUCCACUAACAAGUAUCUACCUAGAAGAUGAAAUGUAAGAUUUAUGUCAUCAGAACUAUUCAGUAUACCAGAGGAUAAUUUUUUCUUCUUUUCAGGACUGUCAACUUUGUUUACUGUUUAUGUUCAAUUCUAUCCUAUAUAAGAGAUUAAAUUGCCUUGUCAUAGCCACAUGUCAAAGCCUUCUUAGAAAAAUAAGGUAAUAAAUGCAAAAUUAUAUUAAUAAGGAGUACUUUCAAAGACAUAUUACAUUUAUUGAAAUCUAAAUUAUAACUGGAAUGUUCUAAUUAUAUUUGUACUAGUCAAAAAGAGAUUUUUUAAGUAUAUAAUGUUAUGACACGUUAGUAUGUUUUAAAAUUGAUGUGACUAAAGAAUGAUUAAAAUAUUAUAAGUAACUUCAAGGAGACACAUAUGAAGUAAUGUAAGCCCAGGAAUUGCUUACAUAAAUCACCAUGUAUGUUGUCAAAUCUGCUAGCCUCUUACAUGCAUUUUUAGUCCAAACUUAAUCAUUUGGCUAUUGAAAUCAUUCUUAAAAAUUGAUCUCAAACAGUGUUAUACAAACAUCAGGGUUUUUAAAAGCCUUGCUACAUUUAAACUUUUUCAUAAUACAAUUUCAAUCUCAAAACAAUAAAUAAUCACAUGGAUAAUGACAGUAACUGAAUCCUAACUAAUUGUAAUACUUCUGCAUAGCCUAGUAACAAUUUAAAAAUGGUGAAGAAUAAAUCUAUUUGACAGGUCUGUUAGCAAUAAGGCCUUCAGGUUUUUGCUUUGCAGCAAAAUGAAGUAAAAUCUAUUAUUUUUUGCUGUUGUUAGAAACGUUUCAACAGUUAGUUAUUUUUCACAGACAAUGCUGCAGGAGGACUCUCCAGGUUGGAAAAAAAAAAAAAAAAUCUUAACACGGUUGAAUUUUACACUUGGCUAUUAUUGGCCAGCAUACAUAAUAAGUUAAAACAUACUGAGAAAUUAAUAUUUUUCUAAGAGGGAAAACUUGAUAGAGGAUUAUAUUUCUACAUUACAGAGUGGAUACUCUAAUCUUUCUGGCAUUGUAAAACUGAAGCUGGCUGCAGGGAAAAUAAACAUUAUAAUAACCGGCACUUAAACAAUUGUACCUAUAUGGUUAAGUAACAAAAGCGUGAGGCACCUGGAAUCACAGUAUUUGUGCCUAAUGCCAGCAACAAUAUAAAGCAUUCAAGUGACAUUUGAUAAUGAGCAGACAGUGGAGGCAUUACACACGUCUUUAGAAGAAUCAGACUUCCUACCUUGAAAAGACAGAUGGAGGGUCUCCCUCUGUUACUCAAGCUAGAUGAAGUGGCACACUCAUAGAUCACUGCACAAUCAACUUACUGGGCUCAAGUGAUGCUUUCACCUCAGCCUCCCAGGUAGCUGGGAUUACAGAUGAGGAAAUGGAGUUACAAAGAAGUAUAUGGCUUGCCUAUGGAGGUGCUGAGAUCCAGGCCAAGGUCACCUUGCAGCCAGGCUACUUUCUGCGGUGCAAUGAUAGAAUGUAAAACUUGUUGAUUGUGGGAAAGAAUCAACUUACUGCUGAUCCAGUAUAGACAUCUUAGUCGGUUUUAUUAACUAAUGUCAGGCAUGACAAUA